rnacentral:rRNA from 1 species
UCUGGUUGAUCCUGCCAGUAGUUAUAUGCUCGUCUCUAAGAAUAAGCCAUGCAUGUCUCAGUAAUAGGUAAUCAAAAUAACUAAAACUGCGAAUGGCUCAGAAGAACAGUAAUAAUUUACAUCUAUAUUUAUUACUCGGAUAUCUGUAGUAAGUCUACUGUUAAUACGUGAGCUACUAUUACUUUUUACACAAAAAUAUGAAAGAAUUUUGAGGUUAUACUCUAAAGUACAAUAUACUUCCAAAAGAGAUUGAUGUAGAUAUCUGUCCUAUCAAUAUUAGAUGGUGAGAUCGGGGCCUACCAAUAUUCUGACAGGUAACGGAGGAUUAAAGUUCGAUUCCGGAGAGGGAGCCUGAGAAAUGGCUACCACUUCCAAGGAGGGCAGCAGGCGCGAAACUUACCCAAUAUCGAAGCGAUGAGGUAGUGACCAGAUGUACCUAUGUAGACAGUAAACUGUCUAUUGAUUGGAAUGAGCUUAGUUUAGACUCCUAGGUAAUUAGCAAUUGGGGGGCAAGAACUGGUGCCAGCAGCCGCGGUAAAUCCAGCUCCAACAGUGUAUACUAAAGUUGUUGCGGUUAAAACGUUCGUAGUCGAGUUGAAGACCGUAUCGCGUACGCUGGAUACGUUUUGAUGUGCUUAAAAAAAGUUAUGAUUAACUAAAUAAGCUAAAUUACUGUGACAAAAGUUUAAGUGUUCAAUGCAAAUUAAUGUCUAGGAAAGUAUAGCAUAGAAUAAUAAUAAUUGAGAAAUUGUUUCACAAUAGGAAAUGAUAGGGACAGUCGGGGGCAUUCGUACUUCAUUGUCAGAGGUAAAAUUCUAGGAUUUUUGGAUGACGAACGUAAGCGAAAGCAUUUGUCAGGAAUGUUCUCAUUGAUUAAGGACAAAGGUUAGGGGUUCAAAAACGAUUAGAUACCGUUGUAGUCUUAACUGUAAACACUGCCGACCAGGAAUAGGUGAAUGCAUCAUACUUUUAGGUUUUGCCUGUACCUAUGGAGAAAUCAGAGUUUUUGGGUUCCGGGGGGAAUAUGGUCGCAAGGUUGAAACUUGAAGGAAUUGACGUAAGGGCACCACCAGGCGCGGAGCCUGCGGCUUAAUUUGACUCAACCCGGGAAAACUUACCAGGUCCGGACAUGAAAAGGAUAAGCAGAUUGAAUUUCUUUUUUUAUUUUGUGAAUAGUGGUGCAUGGCCGCUCUGAGUUCGUGGGUUGACUUGUUAGGUUGACUCCAGUAACGAACGAGAUCUUCAUAAGCUAAUUUAAAAAUAUUAUUGUAAUAAUUAUGAGUUUUCUUAGCAAGACGAUUUCCAGUAAAGGAGGUAAUGGAAGUAGGAGGCAAUAGCAGGUCUGUGAUGCCCUUAGACGUUCUGGGCCGCACGCGCGCUACAAUGAUGUAUCCAAUUAGACAGCCAUAUGAGAUAUCAAUUAGGAAAGCAACUAGUCUACAUCGUGACUGGGAUAGAUCCUUGGAAUUUUUGAUCUUUAACGGGGAGUGUCUUGUAAGCGUGAGUUAUCAUCUGAUGCUGAAUACGUCCCUGCCCUUUGUACACACCGCCCGUCGCUCCAUCUGAUUGGGUGUGCAGGUGAAAUUGGUCUCAUAUGAAAUCAUGUCGUUUGAAGAGCAAGUGAACAGGUCCACUAAGAAGAAGGAGAAGGCGUAACAAGGUUUCCGUAGGAGAACCUGCGGAAG